rnacentral:rRNA from 1 species
UACGUAGGGUGCGAGCGUUGUCCGGAAUUAUUGGGCGUAAAGAGCUCGUAGGCGGUUUGUCGCGUCUGCUGUGAAAACCCGAGGCUCAACCUCGGGCCUGCAGUGGGUACGGGCAGACUAGAGUGCGGUAGGGGAGAUUGGAAUUCCUGGUGUAGCGGUGGAAUGCGCAGAUAUCAGGAGGAACACCGAUGGCGAAGGCAGAUCUCUGGGCCGUAACUGACGCUGAGGAGCGAAAGCAUGGGUAGCGAACAGG